rnacentral:rRNA from 1 species
CUCCAGACUCCUACGGGAGGCAGCAGUGGGGGAUAUUGCACAAUGGGGGAAACCCUGAUGCAGCGACGCCGCGUGGGUGAAGAAGCGCCUCGGCGCGUAAAGCUCUGUCAGCAGGGAAGAAAAUGACGGUACCUGAAGAAGAAGCCCCGGCUAACUACGUGCCAGCAGCCGCGGUAAUACGUAGGGGGCAAGCGUUAUCCGGAGUUACUGGGUGUAAAGGAGGCGCAGACGGCGAUGCAAGCCAGGAGUGAAAGCCCGGGGCCCAACCCCGGGACUGCUCUGGAAACUGCGUCGCUGGAGUACGGGAGGGGCAAGCGGAAUUCCUGGUGUAGCGGUGAAAUGCGUAGAUAUCAGGAGGAACACCGGCGGCGAAG